UACGUAGGGUGCAGGCGUUAAUCGGAAUUACUGGGCGUAAAGCGUGCGCAGGCGGUUUCUUAAGUCAGAUGUGAAAUCCCCGGGCUUAACCUGGGAACUGCGUUUGAAACUGGGAGACUUGAGUGUGGCAGAGGGGGGUGGAAUUCCGACGUGUAGCAGUGGAAAUGCGUAGAUAUGUGGAGGAACACCAAUGGCGAAGGCAGCCCCCUGGGUCAACACUGACGCUCAUGCACGAAAGCGUGGGGAGCAAACAGG
rnacentral:rRNA from 1 species